rfam:Oryza glumipatula chromosome 1, whole genome shotgun sequence.
AAUAAGCGCAGUUAUAAGUUUUCGUAUCUAACUUUGAUCAUCCGUCUUAUUGUUAUUAGAUUAUAAAACAUAAAUAGUAUUUUAUACGUAGCUUAUGUUUUUUAGUUUUUUUCAAAAAAAUCAAAUAAAACGGACGAUUAAAGUUGGAUGCAUAAACUCAUGGUUGGGCUUAUU